CAGCUUGCAGAGUCCGAGGCUGAGUUUACUCAUCUCCUCCUGUCACUUGGAGAAAGAUCACUGCCAGGAAGGGUAAGAUAUAUCCUACAAAUUAGUACAAACAAAACCUAUGUAUAAGCAACUUAUUCAGUAUUGUAUCCUGGAAGAACCAAUAUUUUGUAGACAAAUAUCGCAAAAAUUGUAUACCAAGUAACCAAACAUUGAUAGCUCUUGGACACGAGUCACAUGGAUUAUAGAUAAAUAAAUAUUGAAGCAUGAAAAAUACUCUCAAUGCUUUCUGCAUGAAUAUCAAAGGGACAAGCAAAGCAUAAUGUAAAAAACAAAAUUGAAAAUGUUGUAUGUAAUUAUGUAAUUGUAAACUGAUUCAAAACAUCUAUUCAUAAAAAAAAUCUAUUCAUGUAGAAUUACUGGAAAAGGAAGUUCGGCAUUUAAUAUUUUUACAUUACAGCAAACAAUUAUUAUGGAUCUUAGCAGGAGAAACAGCAAACAAUUAUUAUGGAUCUUAGCAGGACAAUACUGUUGUGUAUUAAUUCAAGUACCUUUUCCGUCCAUGACAGCCAGAGAAAAUGGCAGGAACGCUGAAAGAGCAGCUAAAUUCUAUAACCCCAGCACUGAGAGAGAUGCAGUUAAGAAAAGAAGAGAGAGUAAAGCAAUUCCGAGUAGUACAAGGGCAAAUUCAUAAAAUAUCUGCAGAGAUCGCAGGUCGAACAGAGUAUAAUGAUUCAACAUCACCUGUUUGUGUCAAUGAGAAUGAUCUUUCACUUAAGAAACUUGAGGAGUUCCAAAAUGAGCUUCAGAGACUUCACAGUG
rnacentral:lncRNA from 1 species